rnacentral:rRNA from 1 species
GACGGAGGGGGCUAGCGUUGUUCGGAAUUACUGGGCGUAAAGGGCGCGUAGGCGGCCAAUCAAGUUAGGCGUGAAAUCCCUGGGCUUAACCCAGGAACUGCGUUUAAUACUGAUUGGCUAGAGAUUGGUAGAGGAAAGUGGAAUUCCUAGUGUAGAGGUGAAAUUCGUAGAUAUUAGGAAGAACACCAGAGGCGAAGGCGACUUUCUGGGCCAAUACUGACGCUGAGGCGCGAAAGCGUGGGGAGCAAACAGG